rnacentral:rRNA from 1 species
UUCCAGUGUCAUUUCACACCUCAGGCAGUGAUCUUGUUACAUCUCAUAAGCUAAGCAAGGUCAGCCCUGGUCAGGCUAAGCACUUGAAUAGGAAACUUCUAAGGAAAAACUUAGGCACUGUGGAAA